GAUGAACGCUGGCGGCGUGCCUAAUACAUGCAAGUCGAGCGAACGGACGAGAAGUUUGCUUCUCUGAUGUUAGCGGCGGACGGGUGAGUAACACGUGGAUAACCCACCGAUAAGACUGGGAUAACUUCGGGAAACCGGAGCUAAUACCGGAUAAUAUUUUGAACCGCAUGGUUCAAAAGUGAAAGACGGUCUUGCUGUCACUCAUAGAUGGAUCCGCGCUGCAUUAGCUAGUUGGUCAGGUAACGGCCUACCAAGACGACGAUGCAUAGCCGACCUGAGAGGGUGGUCGGCCGCCCUGGAGGUGGUACGCGGUCCAGGCUCCUACGGGAGGGAGCAGAAGGGAACCGGACGCAGUAGGCGAGAGCAUGACGGAGUGACGCCGAGUGAGUGGUGGCGAUCUUCGGAUCGUGAUACUCUGUUAUGAGUGAUAAACACAUGUGUAAGUAGCUGUACCGAUCUUGACGGUACCUAGUCAGAAAGCCACGGCUAACUACGUG
rnacentral:rRNA from 1 species